rnacentral:rRNA from 1 species
GUAACACCCGAAGUCGGUGAGGUAACCUUUUGGAGCCAGCCGCCGAAGGUGGGACAGAUGAUUGGGGUGAAGUCGUAACAAGGUAGCCGUAUCGGAAGGUGCGGCUGGAUCACCUCCUUUCUAAGGAAU